GCAUUGGUGGUUCAGUGGUAGAAUUUUUUGCCUUUCUUGCAGAAGACCUGUGUUCGAUUCCCAGCCAAUGCA
rnacentral:tRNA from 1 species